rnacentral:lncRNA from 1 species
UUCACAACACCAUAAUUUUUCACAAUACAUAAUUCCAGAAUAUGCUAUUUAAAUAUAUAUAAUUGCAAUAAUUCUUUUUUUUUUUUUUUUUGAAUACAAGUUUUUUUUAUUAUGAUUUUUAAUUACGCCUUAUAAUUGAGAAUGAUAAACAUACCUUAGUUGAAAAGCAGUUUUCUUCACAGGCAAAACUAAAGGCACAAAAAGGCAACUAUCCACUGUGCUUUGAAUUCAGAUGGCUUGCAGCUCACAGGACGAUUCUCAAACUCUCAGAGUUAAACUUUGGCUGGGAAAAGAGAAAAAAGUAGUGCAUCUAGCAGAAGAGAUACGAGGUCUUUCAUCUCAUUAACCUUGUGAGUCUAUAAGUACCUGGCUGCUCGAGUACGUACUACGUAAAAAAAAAGCAAAAAAAAAAAGACAAGCUACGAGUAACGUCUAAAACGUAAAAAAGAACAAAAAAAAAGACAAUAGCAUUGUAUGUUAAUUCCUUGACACCUCGUCCCUGCCGUGUUUAUGUGAAUGAAGAGGAAAAGGGAGGAGGAAAGAAGACCGGCCCUUCACAGCUAUCCCAGCAUCUCAUGGUUUCAGGUUGCACUCAUGGAAGGUGCGGUUCAUCCAAAGCGCUGUACAGGAAUAUGCAGGAGGAAUUAAGCUUUUGGAUUGACAUGCAGUUCUCUAAAGCAAAGCAGUCCUGUUUGUUUUCAUUGAUUUUCCUGAAGCAUUUAGUAGGAAAACAUAUAAGGUACAGUUUGUGUUUGAUUCUUGUCCAAGUUGCCAAUCAGUGCAUUUCCUUUCCCAUAAUCCUACUGGGCAGAGGUGGCGGUUGCUGGGAAGGGACGGCAGUGUCAGAUUGUUUCUUACAGGAACCUGAAGUGUCUCUGGCCGCUCUACAGGACCUCAUUGGGUCUCGCUGUCUCCCAACCUGUUUAUCACCAAGUGCUCCGGCUGCCAGGAAGCAGGUUACAUAAAAAGAAGAACACAAAAGACACAUAGCUGGUGAUACAUAGAAUGUCACUGUGAAAAAAACAUGACCUAAC